AUGAAAUAAGCUGUGAGUUUUGAGCCUUGACUGUCACCAUUUUUACAGUCUUAUUUCUUAUUCUUGAGUGAUUGUUUGAGCAUGCUUGUGUCUCACUAGAACUUGUCUUGGUUUCUCCCUCGAGGUCACAUAGUGUGCUUAAUAACUUUGAGAUGAUAGAAGGCCAUCUUUGCUAGCCUAUUUAUCCCAUAUUUGUCCUAUAUCUUUAUAUGAUCCUAGUUCAACCCCUUUGAGCCUUAUUUUUCCAUAUUCUUUGAUUUAGCUAUGGGUGAGAGCUUGGAAAUUGUUAAUAUGGAAUAGUUGGUUUGUGGAGAUGAAUGAUCAUGAGUUAUGUUUUGUGGUUUCAAAUUGAAAAUCCUAGUACCCUACAAGUUGUUGAAAAAAAAAAAAAAGAAUGGUGGAGAAAAGAAAAAAAGAAAAGAAAAGAGAGAGCAAAAGAAUUGAAAAAAUGGGUACAUAGGAUGCAUUAGAGAGACAUAAUGUUAUGAGAAAUAAUUGUUGAGUUGUGAUGAUUUCUCGCAUUGAAAAAUCUGGUUUUGUGAGAGGUGGAAGAUGGUAUGGUUUAAGAAUGUUAUAAGGUUGGUGAUCGAGCUACAUUGAGGAGUAUCUUUUAGUCACUCAGCCAAAUUUAUCCUACCUUAC
rnacentral:lncRNA from 1 species